CCUGAGAAACCCAAAAGUUCGAAUGGAGAGAUUCAUCGUCAGCGAUCCUGGCAAUUGUGCGGUUCGCGAUGCCCGGGGCCUCGGUCCCGUGGCACGCGUCCGUAUGAUUUAUUUGCCGGGUGUCGUCGUCGUGCACUUCUCCCCUAGUAGGACGUCGCGACCCGUUGGGCGUCGGUCUACGACCCGGGUGGGAGCCUGUCAUGUGUUACGCUUCACGGCGUCAUGUGGCAGACCCCCGGUUGUCCGACCAGCUGCCCGGCGGUACUCGCACGGUAUCGAGUCGCAAUUUGAACUGCGUCCGGCCCGCCGCAAGCGAGGCCAGUGUUUCCCGGAUGUACGGACUUAGCGCCGUCACCGGGCCUGGCCAGCUGUUGGCCGGCGGUGUCCUGGGACUGACUCUAAUUACCGGUCGGCGACGCUACUGCUUUGGGUACUUUCAGGACCCGUCUUGAAACACGGACCAAGGAGUCUAACAUGUGCGCGAGUCAUUGGGAUCUGUUAAGCCUAAAGGCGCAAUGAAAGUGAAGGUAGGCCUUGCGCCAACC
rnacentral:rRNA from 1 species